GAGGGAAAGAUGAAAAGAACUUUGAAAAGAGAGUUAAAGAGUACCUGAAACUGCUGAAAGGGAACCGAAUCGUUUCCAGUGUCUAUAAUCCGUGGUAUAUUUCAUUAGCGAGUGUGUGCGUGCGUGUGCUGUGGCAGCGGCUUUUUUGGCUGCGCUCGGCGUGUGUGCUGUGUGUGCUUGCUGGUGCCCUGUGCUGCGGUGGGACGUCAAGGUCAGUUCGUAUGCUGCGGGAAAUGGCCGCCGAGGAGGUAGGGCUUACGCUUGCGUUUGUCUGUAAUAUCUUGGUGGACGAGUAGUCGCGGUUGGGACUGAGGUGCCUACAACGUGUUUUUGAGUGGGCCUGUGUCUCUGUGUGCGCCGUGUGCGGAUAGCUUGCUAUGCGUGUGUGGUUGUGUGUGGAUUGAUGUGGGUUUUAACUUGUUGCCGUUCGGGACGUUGACGAAAUGGAGCGAUUUGACCCGUCUUGAAACACGGACCAAGGAGUCUAACAUGUGUGCAAGUGUUAGGGUGUGGAAACCCCAGCGCGAAAUGAAAGUGAAGGGCAGCGUAAGUUGUCUGAGGUAGGAAAUGCUGCGGGCUUCGGUCUGCGGUGUGGCACUAUC